UCUCCUCAGCGGGGGUGACCCUUCGUCUUCUCCUCAGCCGGGGGAAAACCUUCGUCUUCUCCUAGCUGGGGGGGACCCUUCGUCUUCUCCUCAGCCAGGGGGUGACCCUUCAUCUUCUCCUCAGCCAGGGGAGGAACCUUCAUCUUCUCAGCCAGGGGAGGACCCUUCAUCUUCUCCUCAGCCAGGGGAGGAACCUUCAUCUUCUCAGCCAGGGGGAGGACCCUUCAUCUUCUCCUCAGCCAGGGGAGGACUCUUCAUCUUCUCCUCUGCCAGGGGAGGACUCUUCAUCUUCUCCUUGGCCUCUGGGGGCUCCAGGUGCUCCUUGAUGGUGGCUGCAUCACUCCAGUCUCUGCCUCCAUGGCCACAGGGCUUCUCCCUGUGUCUGUGUCCAGAUCUUUCUCUAACUAGGACAUUGGUCACUGGAUUGGGGCCCACACCAGUGACCUCGUCUUAAACCGAUUACAUCCGCAAAGACCCCAUUUCCAAAUAAGGUCACACUCAGCGGUUCCUGGUGGACAUGAAAUUUGGGGUACACCAUGCCCCGGCACAGGGGGUCCCUGGGAGUGUCAGUUAACCAGACCCCAGCCUGCAUCCCCAUUGAUGAAUCAGGCAGUUCCUCCCGUGCAGCCACUAAGAGCAAAGGGGACCUGGGAGAGGGUGGUGUGGUCAGUGGGCACCAUGCCGGCCUUGCCAAAUGCUCAGGCACUCCGGGUAAGCACUGUGUACCAGCUCAGAUGUUCACUGGCUCAGGUGUGCACCGGCUCAGGUGUGCACCGGCUCAGGUGUGUACCGGCUCAGGUGUGUACUGGCUCAGGUGUGCACUGGCUCAGAUCUGAGCCAGCACAGGUCUGCAGGCUCCCACAGGUCACAACAAGAAGCAGGUGUUUCUGGGCGAGGACCUGAAGCAGCAGGCUGGGGCUGGGCCAGGUCCCACUGUGGCUGGUGGUCAGCACACCUUUGCCAGCAGGCGCCACAGCACAGGUGCCCAGCCC
rnacentral:lncRNA from 1 species